AUGGCGAACCCGCUAGAGGUGACGUCUCUGGGCCAUGUUCAGAGUAUCGUGAAGGGCUAUGACGGGAUCUUCGAUCUGCCGGUGCGCAUCAUCUCCAUUGACAGCCUCCGCGACGUCGAGGAGAUCGUCGCCCUGCUGUAUGACAAGGUCAGCGAGGAAGGUGGCGCGUGGCGCAUAGAGGAAUUCCCCCUUCUCCAACGGCUGGACAAGCUCCAUGACUACGUCCGCAGCGCCAGCACCCUCCUCGACGAGAUCGACUCCGCGGUCGAGAACCAGGAUGAUGAUCCGACCACAGCUUCUCCGAAACACGGGAGUGCACACCCUGGAGCUCGACCUGAUCCGCGCGUGCUGCUGGGCCGCGUGCGCUCGCUCGGCCAGCGGGUGGGACGCUUCGUGCUGAAGAAGGUCCACAUCGCCAUGCCGCCGCCCCCAGCGCCCGUCGACGACUACGUCGCCCCUCGCGAGAUGCACCCCCUCAACUCUUUCAACUGCGUCACGGCCCUUGUUGAGAGCCACGGCAACGAGCUCGGUGUCCACGCCCGCCUCUUCUGCAUCGACGGCAUACGGAAUGCACGCAAGGUGUUUGAUCUUAUGCGGGGCAGAGUCCAGGACAGAGGAUGGCGCGUAUUCAACUUCCAACUGCUUUGGCUUGCCAUCCUGCAUGACAACCUCGAUCAAGCGCAGCUCGGAUGCGCAAACAUCGUCUCGUUGCUUGAGGACGGGAGAUCCAUCAAGCUCAUCAAGCGCCGCACCGGGGAGCGCCUCCACGCUAUCAGCUGCACCUUAAGAGAUCUUGACCUCGGUCCUCUCGCCACCUGCCGCUUCCGCCGAGACGGUGCCUGGCUUCCCGAGGCCGUGAACAUGCUUGUCCGUGGUGGUCUACUCAACCUCGCCAACGACCUUAACCGGGGAGUGUUUCGUCCUGAUCGUUACGACCUCGCGCAGACUGUCGCCCAAGACAUCGACCUCUUCCUCAACAUGCACCUCUACCUCGAUGCCAACCCGGGCCCCGGCUGA
rnacentral:rRNA from 1 species